rnacentral:piRNA from 1 species
AUACUGUGGGGAUAAGAUCAAGAC